rnacentral:tRNA from 1 species
AGUCCCGAAGUGUUCCACAUCAAAAUGCAAGUUUGAAGAAGAGCCCUUAAAGGCUCCGGGGCUU